rnacentral:tRNA from 1 species
GGAGAUAUAGCUCAAAAGGUUAGAGCCGGUGAAAAUCCCGAGAUUGUGGUUCGAUUCCACGUAUCUCUA